rnacentral:rRNA from 1 species
UACGAAGGGGGCUAGCGUUGCUCGGAUUGACUGGGCGUAAAGAGCGUGUAGGCGGCCAGGUAGGUCUGCUGUGAAAACUCGAGGCUCAACCUCGAGACGUCGGCGGAAACCAUCUGGCUAGAGUCCGGAAGAGGAGAGUGGAAUUCCUGGUGUAGCGGUGAAAUGCGCAGAUAUCAGGAAGAACACCCGUGGCGAAGGCGGCUCUCUGGGACGGUACUGACGCUGAGACGCGAAAGCGUGGGGAGCGAACAGG